AGUUUAUGAUAAAACCAUAUGUUGGUAAGCUGCCAUGGUUUGUACCUCGAGUAAGAAACACUCCUACAUAGACACAGAAUAAGGAUCCAUACAGAAGGGCCACUUACGUCGGAAGCUUUGAAGUUUCUGUCCUCGCGCAUGUCGCGUUACGCAUGUUGGCCGCCAUUUUCCGCAUUCUGGCCAGUAAUGGACCAUUCCCCAAUUAACCAAAAUUUUGAUCUCAACAAGUCUAGACAAAAUUCCAUCAUAGCAUGAAAGAGCAUCACAAAAUUAGUAAUAUUCCAAAGUUUCGUUGCGAAAUGUUGUAAAAUGCGGAUAAUAUAGCCUUGCGAAAUUUGCAAUUUUUAGUCAUUUUAAAUUACAAACGUGAAAUGGUUACCACUUUUCCAAAAUUUUGAUCUUAACUAGCC